CGCUCGGGGCGGCAGUGACGUCAGGCGCGCCGCUGCUCCUCACUCCGUGGCAGGUGCGGCGCGUCUUGUGCGGUCUCUCCUGGUGCGGUCUGCUCCCUACACAACUAGUGCCCAGCCUGUUGGUGGAGAGGUACACUCUGCAGUUCCCUGAUGAACCAAGGGAACCCUCCACCGUAUCCGGGCCCCGGUCCGACGGCCCCAUACCCACCUUAUCCACAACCACCAAUGGGGCCUGAGGCCUACCCUCCAGGACCUAUGGGAGGACCCUAUCCACCUCCCCAGGGGUACCCUUACCAAGGAUACCCACAGUAUGGCUGGCAAGGAGGACCUCAGGAGCCUCCUAAAACCACAGUGUAUGUCGUGGAAGACCAAAGAAGGGAUGACUUGGGCCCAAGCACCUGCCUCACAGCCUGCUGGACUGCCCUCUGUUGCUGUUGCCUCUGGGACAUGCUCACCUGA